GAUGAACGCUGGCGGCGUGCCUAAUACAUGCAAGUCGAGCGAACAGAUGAGGAGCUUGCUCCUCUGACGUUAGCGGCGGACGGGUGAGUAACACGUGGAUAACCUACCUAUAAGACUGGGAUAACUUCGGGAAACCGGAGCUAAUACCGGAUAAUAUAUUGAACCGCAUGGUUCAAUAGUGAAAGACGGUUUUGCUGUCACUUAUAGAUGGAUCCGCGCCGCAUUAGCUAGUUGGUAAGGUAACGGCUUACCAAGGCAACGAUGCGUAGCCGACCUGAGAGGGUGAUCGGCCACACUGGAACUGACACACGGUCCAGCCUCCUACGGGAGGCAGCAGUAGGGAAUCUUCCGCAAUGGGCGACAGCCUGACGGAGCAACGCCGCGUGAGUGAUGAAGGUCUUCGGAUCGUAAAACUCUGUUAUUAGGGAAGAACAAAUGUGUAAGUAACUAUGCACGUCUUGACGGUACCUAAUCAGAAAGCCACGGCUAACUACGUG
rnacentral:rRNA from 1 species